CGGGCGCUGGUGGACGGCGACGGUGCGGCGCGCUUCGUGCGCGUCAGGCAGGCCGAUGCGUUGUUCGAACCUGCGGCGCCGCU
rnacentral:tRNA from 1 species